AUGACAACCGCAGAACAAUUUUUUGUCUGUUGUCAAAGGUUGCCUUGAGUUUUCAGCUGACUUUUUGGAAAAUAUUCAAAACAAACCAAGUUGACAGCCAAAUCAAUGCAUAAUUUCAGUUCAACUUGCUGAUUUUUACCCUGCGGAAGUUAGGCGGCAAUAAUCUCCUGUAACUCACAGCGAUGGAGAAACGUGAUUUUAUCUCGCAAUAAGCAAUAAUAAGUAUCAACAAACGAACCUACCCUGUCACGGCGUUCUAGCAGGAUUCUAGCAGAGUUCUUACAGAGCUGGAUAUUCUUACAGAAUUCUAGCAGAAAUGUUCGACCGUUCUAGCAGGAUUCUGACAGAACCAGCUUUGCUAGAGUAUUUCGUGACUGGGUAACAUGACACUUAAUAUGUGCAGCCGUCGCUCUUGCAACGGACACACCAUUACACUGAACCCGUGCGACGCUCCUGAAACGAACGCACCAUAGUUGAGCGAGCUGUCAAAGUUUUUCACUCGCGCGUGCUCGAUCCUGUCUGUGUCUGUAUUCGGUCGCAGUGUUAACCGAAAUUUUCAACGGUAAAUCGCGUGUGCUCGUGAAAAAGUAACAUCCAGCGGUUGGCCUCAGGAUUCUGAAUGCGUUCCUGGUGUUGGACACAUCCGCCGGGUGUUCGAACUGUUCCGACGAUGGCGAAGAGUUUUGCUUUAAAACAACGAAUGUUUCAGGUGGGUUAUAUUUGCGGAGGGCGGAAUCCCGUCCCACGGCAUACAUUUUCUUUUGCCUGCUUGAGCUGCUUGGAUAUUGGCUGAUGCAUGAAGUGAUUUGUUCAUCUUUUUUCGGCACACUCAACAAACGUCAAACCAAACAAAAUUGCUGCCGGAUCUUUUCCGGGAGAGAUCCGGAAAAAGAUCCGGCAGCAAUUUUUACUGAUUUGACAUUUGCUGAGGAUGCCGAAAAGUUUUUUUUGUGUUACUCUCGCAAAAGACAAUUAGGUUUUACGCCGACUCGAUUUGGAGGAUAGAAAAGAGUGCACAGUUCGAUGCGGUCGUCGAUUUUGUUCGGUGAAAUUCGUCGACAAUCGACGAAGACCAUGUAAACAGUGCACACGAGCUGUCAAAUGACGUCACGGCGUAAAACCUAAUUAGGUUUCACAGCUUGACAUCAUGAGCGCACACGCACACACAUUUUUACUGACACACGUGUAAAAAAUGUAAACAGUAAAGGCAAGCUGUCAAAUUUCUAACCUUAAACUCGAGUCGGCGUAAAACCUGAUUGGCUGAUGCAAGAAGUGAUUUGUCUUCAUUUUUCGACUCUCCCAACCAACGUCAAACCACUCAAAAUUGCUGUCGGAUCUUUUCCGGAAGAGAUCCGGCAGCAAGUUUGUACUGAUUUACGUUUGCUGCGGGUGCCGAAAAGUUUGGUUAUGUUGCUGCAUGUAAAAACAAUACGAUCAUUUAGUGUUUUUAUUCAACAGGGAACAUUUCGCCUACGGGGUGAACUUCGCGCUCGAUUUGGACGAGGAAAGCCGCAACAGAAUCACUCGACAAGAUCGCCAAGAAGUUGGCUUUUCUACAAGGACGAUCGUGGAUGGCGUGUGGCCCAAUUUGUGCUGCCGGGGAGUACCAGUCCGGUCGCAAUCAUCAGACGAUAGAGGAACAUCAUUGCACAUGGGUCAAAUGAUCACCAAGGGAACAUUCCCAACACAACCGGCACUAACGAAACCAGCAAAUCAAUCCGGAGUCUCCAGUCGACAAAAAGGAGCCGGUGGUCAGUUUAAACGCACCAUGACAUCACCCAUCCGAGGAGAAACAAGAAUCGGUCGCGAUCGAGAUCGAAAGCGAAAGAAAGCGGCUUCGUUUUGGUGUUUGCAAAACUCUAGAGAAGACAUUAUCAAUUAACAAUUGAAAAAAAAAAACAAAGUUAUUCAAUGUUGAAUGUAAAUAAAUUACAAUGAAUAAUAUAAAA